GUCCUGAUACCUGUCCUGCCAACACUGUGAAGUCUACAGGAGCCUGGGGUGAUGGCAGUCUGGAUAAUGGAUAGUCUGUUGUUUUUUAAUAGACUUGGAAAUCUGCACUCAGGUUUCCACUUGGCUGACAGACACAUCCAAGCAUCAUUUGCUGACAAGCCCUGAACUUGCUGAAAGCUGAUAUGGACCAGUUCAUGCUAUCUCUUCAGCUGGUCAAUAAAAUGCUAACAUUCUGGCUUCCCAGGGCCCUGACAACAAUGUCCCAAGGUCAGCAGGAAGUAAUUACAGAAGAGAAAACAUCGCCCUUGUCCGUCGCCCCUCACCCCCAUGUUAGAUCAAAAUGGAAUUUCUUGUCAUAGGGGACCUGAGAUAAAGUAAUAACUGGUCCCCAUUCUCAUUUCCAAGUUCCUUGAGGAUAAGGAACUCUAUCAACAAUCACAGGGAUUUUGGCCCUUGUGCUUCUGCUAAUUACUGUUGGCUCUUAUGUCACUGAUGUCUUAACUGAAUGAUGACUCCUGUCUGGGUACCACUAAACUGAGGAUGCUAGAAUCCCAAUAUCAGCCCCUGAACCCAUGACACACUUGCAGAUGGCAACAACCGAGUAAGGGAAGCCCACUUUGCCAUUGAUGAUGGGAAACCUCUUAUGUCCUGGUCCAAUUAGUCUCCAAAAUUAUCUAAUACCCUGGUGAUAAAGUCUUUUACCAAAAAGAAACGUCUCCAUGGUUGGAGGCGAUACACCACUCAAAGGGGGAAUGAAAGGACCAAGCAGACGCCAUAACAGGCUGCUCAGUCUUCUCUCAGAGAUCAGGCCUCAAUUUCAGUUUCCUGAGACUUAGGCAAGCAGUUUCUGGGAGGGCUAUGACAUAGUCCUUGCAGUAGCUCCCUUUCUGCACGUACUCUGACUGCUCAAGAUUCAGCCAGUUGUUUACUGUCUGGGACCCUUCACCAACGUGUGAGGCCAGCCAGCCCCCAUGGCAGCUCAAGGACAGAGCCUGGGACUUGUCCAGGCCUGCCCCAAAAUAACUGUAACCCCCAACCAGUAAAUUCAAAGGUUACACACCCUCACUCAAUCAUAUGAUGCCAAGGCUUGUACCGCCCUGUUUGCGGUUUUUCCCUUUAAAAACCCCUCACUCUGAGGGCUCAGGGCCGUCCUCCUUCACCUGGCUAGCCAGUGUGUUGGACGAGGAUCAAGCCCGGGCUUGCUUGUUAUCAAUAAAUCCCUGUGUGUUUUACGUCG